CUACGGGUUGCUGCAGUGAGGAAUAUUGCACAAUGGGGGGAACCCUGAUGCAGCAACGCCGCGUGGAGGAUGACGCAUUUCGGUGUGUAAACUCCUUUUAUAUGUCAAGAAAAUGACGGUAGCAUAUGAAUAAGCACCGGCUAACUCCGUGCCAGCAGUCGCGGUAAUACGGAGGGUGCAAGCGUUACUCGGAAUCACUGGGCGUAAAGGACGCGUAGGCGGGCUUGUAAGUCAGGUGUGAAAUCCUACAGCUUAACUGUAGAACUGCACUUGAAACUACGAGCCUAGAGUAUGGGAGGGGCAGAUGGAAUUAGUGGUGUAGGGGUAAAAUCCGUAGAUAUCACUAGGAAUACCUAAAGCGAAGGCGAUCUGCUGGAACAUAACUGACGCUAAGGCGUGAAAGCGUGGGGAGCAAACAGGAUUAGAUACCCCUGUAGUC
rnacentral:rRNA from 1 species